GGGGCNGCACGGGUAGCAAUACCUGGUGGCGACCGGCGCACAGGUGCGUAACACGUAUAUAAUCUGCCUUUAACUGGGGGAUAGCCCGGAGAAAUCCGGAUUAAUACCCCAUAAUAUAUUGGAUGGCAUCAUUCGAUAUUGAAAGCUCCGGCGGUUAGAGAUGAGUAUGCGUCUGAUUAGUUAGUUGGUGAGGUAACGGCUCACCAAGACUUCGAUCAGUAGGGGAUCUGAGAGGAUUAACCCCCACACGGAUACUGAGACACGGAUCCGACUCCUACGGGAGGCAGCAGUAAGGAAUAUUGGACAAUGCCCGCAAGGGUGAUCCAGCCAUGCCGCGUGCAGGAAGACGGCCCUAUGGGUUGUAAACUGCUUUUACACCGGAGAAAACCCCUUCUCGUGAGGAGGGCUGAUAGUAUGGUGAGAAUAAGCAUCGGCUAACUUCGUGCCAGCAGCCGCGGUAAGACGAANGAUGCAAGCGUUAUCCGGAUUCAUUGGGUUUAAAGGGAGCGUAGGUGGCCUUAUAAGUCAGUGGUGAAAUCCUGCAGCUUAACUGUAGAAUUGCCAUUGAUACUGUANGGCUUGAGUGUAGUUGCCGUUGGCGGANUAUGACAUGUAGUGGUGAAAUACAUAGAGAUGUC
rnacentral:rRNA from 1 species